rnacentral:lncRNA from 1 species
CCCUAUUUAUAUUUCAAGAAGGGGCGUAUGAAGCAUCUCUCUGUGAAUUCCAACCAUCUCAUCAAAAGGCAUAUUAAAAUCAAGAGACUUAUAUGAUAAGGUCUCUUCAGAAAUAUACGUCGCUUCAUUCCUUCUCCCAUGCGCGUGCUUAUGGAAGGCAGCAUAUAGCAUCCCAAAUCAUCUCAGAAAAUUCUAAGCUUUUGCCACGUGGUAGCCAUGAUUUAUCACGUUCAAAUGAAUGGCAGAAGCCCCUAGAGAAGUUCCUCC